rnacentral:misc_RNA from 1 species
UGUGUUGCUUACCUAUCGAAAGGAAUUCGAAUGUAUCGUUGUCCCUAUUCGCCCGAUGCCCUUUGCGGGUAUAGGGUGGACGCUACGCACGCUACNUGUUCCUUGCAUGCCUUGCCUUGCUGCAGGGCUGUUGAGGCCCGUGUAGCUGUUGCUCGUUCUCUCGGAUGCGGAAUGCCAUGCGUGGGCGCAAGGCCUCGGCCUUUGCUUGCCCAAGCUGUGCAUUUGUCCCUUGACAUGAACGACUGCCACGAUCGUCUUGAUCCCGUUGUAGCCUGCGUGCUAGAUGUGGCUCAUGCGUUCGUUGGUGUCGUCGAGGAAUGCUACCUGGUUGAUCCUGCCAGUAGUCAU